rnacentral:misc_RNA from 1 species
GUAACCUCACACUUCCGGUCUUCGGAUUGGGAGCGGUGGACUUGGGUGUUGCUGCUUCACCGCGGCUCGCCUUAAAUGCAUUAGUGCCCCUCCAGAUUGGACAUAGUACAGCGUGAUAAGUAUCUUCGCUGGCACCUUACUCAAGGGUGGCUGAUCCAGAGCUCUGUGCUCCAAACCGUCUUCGGACAAUGACUGACA